UGUACUUUGACUGUCAAAGGGAAGGAGCAGUUGCCUGGUUAGGGUGGAUGCACGAGAAUCACCUUGGAUGAGACAAUAAUUCUCUUCCCAGGCCCCGCCCCUGAGGAACAGAAUUGGGGUUCUCGACUCAGGUCCAGGAAAACCAGAACAGGAGGACGUCACCCAGCCAGCGGUGUAAGAUCUGAGCCAGGUACAGGAGUGCAUCCCAGCGCAGAAGGGGAACACACAGUUUGACUCUCAGUGAGUCCAGCUGAGUUCACCAGCGUUACUGUACAGCUCACAGCCACCUGCCGAAUGCUCCCUUCUGUGAAACACCAACCAACCCAGGCCAGGCAGAAAAAAAACUGAGGGUUUCCUUUAAGAAAUAUGGCUUAACUUCAUCCAGCAGCUGGUGGAAGUAAAAGCCGACACCCACAACUAUUCACCGAACUGAACUGGAAUCCAGUUGCAGAGAAGGACGAGUGAAAAGCAAAGGGGUCCAGACCAGGCUGGUGAAACCCACAGAAACAGCUGACUUGAACAUCAGGGAACUCUUGCUCCCCAGACUGAUAGCUGGGAUACCAGCAUGAGACUGAUCCAGCCCCCAGG
rnacentral:lncRNA from 1 species